AAGGCCAAGCUGGCUGAGCUGGCCAGAUGGUACGACUACAUCACUACCUGGGUGAAGGCUGUGACAGAGCAGGGCACCAAGCUGUUCAAUGAGGAGCUCAACCUGCUUUCAGUGGCCUACACAUACAUGGUCAGGGGAUCACAGGUCUGCCUAGAGGGUCACCUUGAGCAUUGAGCAGAAAACUGUUACCUCCGACAAGAAGUUGCAGCUGAUUAAGGGCUAUCAGGAGAAAGUAGAGUCUGAGCUGAGAUCCAUCUGUACCACAGUCCUGGAAUUGCUGGAUGAGUAUUUAAUAGCUGAUGCAACUAAUCCAGAGAGUAAGGUCUUCUAAUUGAAAAUGAAGGGAGAUUACUUCCUGUACCUUGCCGAAGUUGCAAGUGGUGAUGAUUGAAAACAAGAUAGAUAAUUCCCAAGGAGCUUACCAAGAAGUAUUUGAUAUAAGCAAGAAAGAGAGUCAACUCACCCACCCAAUCUACCUGGGGCUUGCUCUUAACUUUUCUGUAUUUUACUGUGAGACCCUUAAUAAUGCAGAGCUCACCUGCAUGCUGAAUAAAACAGAUACACUGCAGAACUUGAUACACGGAAUGAAGAUUCAUACAAAGACAGCACCCUUAUCUGCUUAGAGACAACCUAACACUAUGGAUAUCAGACAGUGCAA
rnacentral:lncRNA from 1 species